rnacentral:lncRNA from 1 species
UGAGUGCGUCAUUGUUGGAACUGAUGAAUGCUACUCUGCAGCUGCUGCCUGUCUGCUGAAACGUUGCACUCUUUGGGUUGGUACCUGAGCUGUGAUGGCUCUGCAGGACUGGAAUUGCUCGCCAGCACCAAUUAAUUAAAGCCAUCUUCCCAGAAGUGCUCUGCUAUCAGCAUCUGCAGCCAUGCUUACUGCCCUGAAGGCAAAAGUGAAGCAAAGCGAUGCCUUCAACGCUGACAGCUGUGGUGCUGCUCUGGACUUUGGGUCUGUGCAUCCAAUCCCUUGCAGGCGUGUUGUUUGACAUGGAGCUGUUGGUGUGUCUGCCCGCCUGGCUUGCUAUCUGUUGAUCUUUCUGGCUCUCUGCCUGCUAUGGUGGAGAAAUAUUGAGGCAUAAUGGAAGCUUUGCAGCUGACGGCUAA